rnacentral:rRNA from 1 species
GACGAACGCUGGCGGCGUGCCUAAUACAUGCAAGUCGAGCGAACCAAUGGGAGCUUGCUCCCUGAGGUUAGCGGCGGACGGGUGAGUAACACGUGGGUAACCUGCCUGUAAGAUUGGGAUAACUCCGGGAAACCGGAGCUAAUACCGGAUAAUAUUUUGAGCCGCAUGGUUCGAAAUUGAAAGACGGCUUCGGCUGUCACUUACAGAUGGACCCGCGGCGCAUUAGCUAGGUGGUGAGGUAACGGCUCACCAAGGCGACGAUGCGCAGCCGACCUGAGAGGGUGGUAGGCGACACUGGGACUUGGACACGGCCCAGACUCCUACGGGAGGCAGCAGUAGGGAAUCUUCCGCAAAGGACGAAAGUCUGACGGAACAGCGCCGCGUGAACGAUGACGGCCUUCGGGUCGGAAAGUUCUGUUGUUAGGGAAGAACAAGUACCAGAUGAACUGCUGGUAGCUUGACGGUACCUAACAAGAAAGCAACGGCUAACUACGUG